CCUACGGGAGGCAGCAGUAAGGAAUAUUGGACAAUGGGCGCAAGCCUGAUCCAGCCAUACCGCGUGGGUGAAGAAGGCCUUCGGGUUGUAAAGCCCUUUUGUUGGGAAAGAAAUCCAGCUGGUUAAUACCCGGUUGGGAUGACGGUACCCAAAGAAUAAGCACCGGCUAACUUCGUGCCAGCAGCCGCGGUAAU
rnacentral:rRNA from 1 species